CUUUCAGCCAACGGGGUCGCUGCGCCUCCGCUUUCCACGCGAGGACCUUCACACAAGCCUGUAAUGAAAGAGACGGAGCUUUGUGCCCUAAACUAAAAAAAACAAAACAACAAAAAACACCAGAACCCGAACCCGACUCAUGAAUUAAAACAACGAAUUGUCUGUGAGAGGCCAGUAGAGGAGCGUCUGUCUGUCUGGAGAAGGCGGAUGAUGGAGUUCCCGCAGCAGCCUCAGCAGCAAAGACCCGCGGGGGACGGGAAGAUCAUCUACCCGCUGGGUGUCAAAGAGAUCACUGAUAAAAUCAGCAACGAUGAAGUCGUCAAACGACUCAAGAUGACGAAUUGGUUGGACUGGAUGGCCAUGAUGUUGUCAUCUGUUCUGUACUUGAUCACAAGCAGUCACACAAAUUUCCUGUAACAGGUUAAAUGGCAUUUGUGAGCCUAGUUUAGUUCUAGUUAAUGUACAUAUACCUGUAAUAGUGCACUAAUAAUAAUUGCAGAAUGCAGCGAUAAUAUAUCUAUUGCUCAGGCAUUUAGUUGCGAUGAACAUGGAGGCUAGAGGUUAAAUGAAUAGCUCACACAAAACUGAACAUUUUCUCAGACUUGGGCCAUCUAAGCUGAUGAGAUUAAUUCUUUUUCAGAAUAGAAUUUAGUAAAUUUAGCAUUACAUCACUUGCUUACUAGUGGAUCCUCUGCAGUGAAUGGGUGUUGUUUGAAGGAGAGCAUCACAAUAAUUCACGACACAAUUCCUACAUCUUGGAUAUCCUAAAGCUGACUACAUUUAAUUAGCUUGAUGUGAUCAUACCUGCAACUUGGAGAGUUAAUUUCUGUGGAAAAAUGCAUUAAAUUUGCACUGACAUACGGAGCAAAACUGUAUCUAGUGAAUAUUAAAAUGUUGAGGUGUGCACUUUUGAUUUGGGUCAGUAAACAACUAAUUUCUUGUUGUCGUUUU